AGGCCUGGUACUGUGGUUCACGCCUAUAAUCCCAGCACUUUGGAGGCUGAGGCGGGUGGAUCACCUGAGGUCAGAAGUUCAAGACCAGCCUGACCAACAUGGUAUACAAUCAUGUUAUUUUCCCACAACGAUAAUUCAGAAGAGACAGUAUUUAAAGGAAAAGCUAUAUUCUUUUUAAAAGGUGAUGAAAACUUUGUGGCUUUGAAGGCUGCAUACUACCCAUCUUGCAUUUUGAUAUUAUUUUGACCUGGACUCAUAUGUGGAUUUCAACUUGAGUGCCAACUCCAGUGACUAGUAAUGGCUGCCUGGAAUUCUGUCCUGAAGAGGAUUUUGAAGAUCAUUAUAUGACCAGUGAGAAUCAGGGCCAUGAAUGAUUAGUCACAUCUGCCAUGUCAAAGGAGUUAGGACUGAUGGUACAUCUGUCAAAUGUUUGCUGUCUCUUAUCUAUUCCAGUCCACUCUUUAUACAAGUGAGUAAAUGACUUGUGUAUUGGUCACACAAUAAAUGACUAAG